GACAGAGGUCCCGAGCGUUAGGCGGAAUCACUGGGCUUAAAGCGUGUGUAGGCGGAUGCCUAAGUACCUUGUGAAAUCCCACGGCUCACCCGUGGAACUGCUUGGUAUACUGGGUGUCUUGAGCCACUUAGGGGCUACCGGAACAAAUGGUGGAGCGGUGAAAUGCGUAGAUAUCAUUUGGAACGCCAAUGGUGAAAACAGGUAGCUGGGAAUGUACUGACGCUGAGACACGAAAUCCACGAGAGCAAACUGG
rnacentral:rRNA from 1 species